AUUGAACGCUGGCGGCAUGCUUUACACAUGCAAGUCGAACGGUAACAGGUCUUCGGAUGCUGACGAGUGGCGAACGGGUGAGUAAUACAUCGGAACGUGCCUAGUAGUGGGGGAUAACUACUCGAAAGAGUGGCUAAUACCGCAUGAGAUCUACGGACGAAAGCAGGGGAUCGCAAGACCUUGUGCUACUAGAGCGGCCGAUGGCAGAUUAGGUAGUUGGUGGGAUAAAAGCUUACCAAGCCGACGAUCUGUAGCUGGUCUGAGAGGACGAUCAGCCACACUGGGACUGAGACACGGCCCAGACUCCUACGGGAGGCAGCAGUGGGGAAUUUUGGACAAUGGGCGCAAGCCUGAUCCAGCAAUGCCGCGUGCAGGAUGGAGGCCUUCGGGUUGUAAACUGCUUUUGUACGGAACGAAAAGCCCUGGGUUAAUACCCUGGGGUCAUGACGGUACCGUAAGAAUAAGCACCGGCUAACUACGUGCCAGCCGCCGCAGUAAAAC
rnacentral:rRNA from 1 species